rnacentral:lncRNA from 1 species
AGUGUUGCAGUCUUGUGUUUGAAUCUUUACGCGAGCAUGGAUAUUAUUUUUGCUCAAUUGUAUGAGAGAGUUUCGGUGGAGUUGGAAUUUUGAGUUAGUAGGAUAGUGGGGAGGAAUUUGAGGGAUUGCUAGGAUAUUUUUUUAAUUUUAUUUUUUCAAAAUUCCUCUCUUUCCAGGAACACUGAUGUCAAAUUUUCUUUUGUUUUCCUCUGUUCUUUUAUUCAUCACUUUUUUUUGUUACUUCCUCUAUUUUGCUUCGACCCGUCAACGAAUCUUUGUAUUUUGCUGUUCUAUUUUCUUUCGAUUGUUCGGUAAGUGGGGUUCUAACGCUUCUGUAGUUUUUUUUCCAAAUUGCCGGUUGUAGCCUUAUUUUUCUAUUUUGGCAGCGGUGAAUCGUGAAGUGAGAGGCUCUCCUCUUGUGGAUUUGUAGUCGAAAUCAUUC